ensembl:snRNA U6 U6 spliceosomal RNA
GUGCUCGCUGCUGCGGCACAUAUACCAACAUUGGAACGAGACAGAGAAGAUUGGCAUGGCCCCUGUGCAAGGAUGACAUGGAAAUUCGUGAAACGUUCCAUAUUAAA